CGCGUAGGCGGCGGACCUUGUCGAGUGUGAAAGCCCCGGGCUCAACCUGGGAGGUGCGCUCGAGACGGGUUUGCUGGAGUUCGGGAGAGGAGAGUGGAAUUCCCAGUGUAGAGGUGAAAUUCGUAGAUAUUGGGAAGAACACCGGUGGCGAAGGCGGCUCUCUGGACCGAGACCGACGCUGAGGCGCGAAAGCGUGGGGAGCAAACAGGAUUAGAUACCCUGGUAGUCCACGCUGUAAACGAUGUGUGCUAGACGUUGGGGAGCGUAGCUCUUCGGUGUCGCCGCAAACGCUUUAAGCACACCGCCUGGGGAGUACGGCCGCAAGGUUAAA
rnacentral:rRNA from 1 species